rnacentral:rRNA from 1 species
AGCAGCCGCGGUAAUUCCAGCUCCAAUAGCGUAUAUUAAAGUUGUUGCAGUUAAAAAGCUCGUAGUUGAAUUUCGGGAUCAGUACGCCGGUCGUGCCUUCGGUAUGUACUGGUGUCACUGAUUCCUCCCUUCUGAAGAACCGUUAUGCCAUUCAUUUGGUGUGACGGGGAAUCAGGACUGUUACUUUGAAAAAAUUAGAGUGUUUAAAGCAGGCUCGCGCUUGAAUACAUUAGCAUGGAAUAAUGAAAUAGGACGUUUGAUCUUAUUUUGUUGGUUUCUAGGAUCGACGUAAUGAUUAAUAGGGAUAGUUGGGGGCAUUAGUAUUCAAUUGUCAGAGGUGAAAUUCUUGGAUUUAUUGAAGACUAACUACUGCGAAAGCAUUUGCCAAGGAUGUUUUCAUUAAUCAAGAACGAAAGUUAGGGGAUCGAAGACGAUCAGAUACCGUCGUAGUCUUAACCAUAAACAAUGCCGACUAGGGAUCGGAUGAUGUUAAUUUUUUAAUGACUCA